rnacentral:rRNA from 1 species
GUGCCAGCAGCCGCGGUAAUACGUAGGUGGCGAGCGUUGUCCGGAAUUAUUGGGCGUAAAGAGCGUGUAGGUGGGAUCAUAAGUCUUUUGUCAAAGUGCGGGGCUCAACCCCGUGAUGCGGAGGAAACUGUGAUUCUUGAGUGCCGGAGAGGAAAGCGGAAUUCCCAGUGUAGCGGUGAAAUGCGUAGAUAUUGGGAGGAACACCAGUGGCGAAGGCGGCUUUCUGGACGGUGUCUGACACUGAGGCGCGAAAGCCAGGGGAGCGAACGGGAUUAGAAACCCGCGUAGUCC